ensembl:lncRNA
UUUUAAGGAUCUGCAGGAGCUCCAGUCUUCGCCAGAUUAUCUCGCUUACUGAGUGUCUAGCUCCUGUUGCCAGAAUCUGCUACAUGUACGCCCCGCCUCCCUGCCUGCCUGCCUGCCUGCCUGCCUCCCUCCCUCCCUCCCCUCCCCUCCCUGCACUGCCUGCACUGCCCCGCUGCAGACUCAAAGCCUCAUCAUACAGCUAGCACUCUCCUAUCUGGACUCUUCUCUAAUGCGUGCCUCUCCUUUCCUGAGGUCCCCCCCCCAAAGAUCUUCAACACCACUUCUACCUAAUAAACAUUGUUCUCACUUCCACUGACGGUGAAUUAAAAAAAAAAAUUGAUGUCCCAAAAUCUUUUAUUUAAGAAAUGAUCUUUCAUUCAAGCAAUGUAUGAAAAAUAAAAUGGGUUUUCUGAA